GUCCCAUUAGCACAGUGGUAGUGCCGCCGGGUACAUGUUCGAGAUGUAUAUCCCAACAAAAAUGUUUCCACGGUGAUCGUCGGUUCGAGCCCGGCAUGGGAUU